AGAGUUUGUCCUGGCUCAGAUUGAACGCUGGCGGCAGGCCUAACACAUGCAAGUCGAACGGAAACAGAAAGUAGCUUGCUACUUUGCUGUCGAGUGGCGGACGGGUGAGUAAUGCUUGGGAAUAUGCCAAAACGUGGGGGACAACAGUUGGAAACGACUGCUAAUACCGCAUAAUGUCUUCGGACCAAAGCAGGGGACCUUCGGGCCUUGCGCGUUUUGAUUAGCCCAAGUGGGAUUAGCUAGUUGGUAAGGUAAUGGCUUACAAGGCGACGAUCCCUAGCUGUCUUAGAGGAUGACCAGCCACACUGGACUGAAACACGGUCAGAAUCCUACGG
rnacentral:rRNA from 1 species